ensembl:lncRNA
UGUCUGGCCACUGGGUUUUACCCCCGUCACAUCAACCUGACCCUGUUCAGAGAUGACCAGCCUUUGGAUAGCCACCAGAUCACUGGAGGGGAACUGCUACCUAACGGAGAUGGAACCUACCAGAUGAGGAAGAGCCUGGAGGUCAGCACAGAUGAUCUAAAGGAGAACUACCAGUACACGUGUAAGGCUGAGCAUCUCAGCCUGGACAACAAGUUGGACAUACCUUUAGAUUAUGAACCUUAUCCAGGCCAGAAACAUGUUGUGGCAGUGGUGGUUAUACCACUGGUUUGUGUAACUGUAGUCAUCAUCGUCUUCGUCUUCUGCAGGAAAAGAUGCAUGGCCAACAACAGAUGCUUGAGGAUCCACCAGGGAAGGAAGAA